CAAGAGGGUGAUCUCAGCUUCAAGAAAGGCGAGAUUUUAACAGUUAUCAAAACGAGCGAGGAUGGCUGGUGGGAAGCUGAAAACGCAGCCGGGAAACAAGGCGUUGUACCGAAAACUCUUCUUAAGAUUAUCGAGGAAAGCGGCGAAGAAACCUCACCGGAGAAAACUGACGAAGAGGAUUCCACUGUAACGAAGAAAGAGACAGCAGACAAAGUUCCCGAGCUUCCACGGCAAAGAAGGUGAGCUCAGGACUUAAGUAACGAAACCAUGUCAAGAAACUCAGUUAUUAAAGCAUU